rnacentral:lncRNA from 1 species
GCCACUCCAUUUAGAACUGCCGUUAAUCCGUCGAGGAUGAAGGAGAGACAGAGCAAAGGAGAUAUGUCAGCAACAUAGUCAACAACUUCUUUGCUGUUGCUGAAUGUGUAGCCUAUGAUGUUUCGGCAGGUGAAGAGAAGUGUGCUAAAGAAAGCUGUUACAUAGCGAUUCUACUAUGGACAAUUCCUUCCGACCUUUAUUAGAUCCACGACAGACGACACCUCCUUCUUCUUCUCUAUGCGCUUGAUGGAUACCUUCAAUAUCUUCUCUACAUAGAAUCCUGGCGAACGGCUAUAAUUGUGCACACUUGCCUCCAUUAAUCUACAAAUCUGUUUAUAAAUCGCAGUAGCUGAGACUCGAAGCCUACACCUCUUAAUGUAGAAGCAUUAAUGAACAUUUUAUCAACCAUUGGACCAAAGGUACUUCCACCAAAUUAUUCCCAUUUAGUAUAUGAAAAAGUAAAGAAAACAAAGAAAUUUAUCUCUCUCUCGUAAAGGAUUAAGAAAUAGAUAACCGUGCUUUAGCAAAAAAAAAAAUGUGCAAAAUUAUUUGUUCUAAUUAAAAAAACAAUUUCUACAUAAGCAAAUUUUAAGUAUUGAUAAAACAGGGAUUUAUACAAAAAAUUAUAACACACCGACUAUGCUGUAAGAAAUUUUUGCAGCUUUAUUUUGACAGUAUAUAGCCGUAAAACAAUUGAGCAAUGAGAGUUACAAAUAGUUUGAGAUAGCUCUCAGAAACACCAUUCUUUAAGCCAAUCCAUUUUCACUUGAGAUUAGUCUCUUCCUUGCCUUCUUGGCCUGCAAAUCAUAGAUUCCAGUUACUUUAGAGAAUUAAAAAAAAAAAAGAAUGUAUUGUAAUAAGCUCUAACCUGUUCCUUCCAAUUCAUGGAAGCCGUGACAAUAGCCAGUAUAAUGGCUUGCACAGCGGAUCCAACCACUACACCACACCAUAGUCCUUUUCCGUUCAACUCACAACUGAAAGCUAAAUAUAUUCCAACCGGAGCUCCUACGAGAUAAUAAGCUACUACGUUGUUCAAAGCUCCAAUGUGUUGCCAACCACAUCCCCUGGCAACCCCAUUAAGAACUGCGGUAAAUCCGUCAAGAACAAAGGAGAGACAGAGCAAAGGAGAUAGAUCAGCCACAUAGUCCACAACUUCUUUACUGUUGCUGAAUGCGUAGCCUAUGAUGUUCCUGAAGGCGAAGAGAAGUAUGCUAAAGAAAGAUGACUCUACAAGCCAGAGACAAAGCCCUGCCAAUACUGAAACCCUAGCAACUUGAGGAAUCCCAGCUCCCAAUUUGUUUGACACGCGUGUGCUGCAAGAAACCAAAUGACUUAUAUUGUUUAGGAAGAAGAUGUUGAAUAUGGUUGGUUAAAAAUUAGAGUUCAUACCUCACAGCGGCCGCGACUCCAACUGGAAUCACAUAGUGCAAAGUUGCUGUUGUAAGACUUGCAUGAAAGAAAUAGGAUUCGUUAGCUUUUUUAGUAUAGAUCGCACUAGUAAAGAUAAAAAGAAGUCCUUCUAUAUGAAACUUACCAAAUUGAAAGAACAGAGGUCUCGAGUUUUGGGUUUUGGAGAAGACCUGAACAGAGUAUAAGUAGCUCAAAUAGCCACCAUUCUAGGCUGUAAAAGGCAGACCGAGAAAAUGCAAGUGAGAUAAGAAGAAGCAUUGGCGUAUGUAACUUGACCAACAAGAAACUUUUAAUAGACUUACCAAAGCAUUGCCGCUGAUGGGACUCCAUAACGGAAGAACUGCUUGACAGAAGACAAGAAAUCUUGGGAUACAAAUCGGCGAGUCUUCUCGCAAGAGCUGGAGAAUCUCACAUAACAUGAGAGUGUCAUAGCGAAAAACCAGAAAGACACACUAAUAGCCAAGGCAGCUCCAUUGCUUCCCAAACCAAGUGCGGAAACCAAAGUCCAGCAAACCGCAAUGUGGAACAAAAGGGUGGUCAGGGCAAAGUAAAGCAGUGGAAGAACCAACCCUUGUGCUAGCAGAAACCGGGUCAGUGGUAAGACAAUCGCAUGGGCAAACAAAGUCGGUAUGAGCCGCAAGGCGUAGGAGCCAGCGACUCUGGAGAUGUCAGGGUCUUGUCCGAGAGAGAUCAAGAGUUUUUCCAUGUAUAUCCAGAGAAUUGAUAUGAGGACACAUAUAGGGAUGUUAGAGGAAAUUGCGGAGUAUGUAUAGGUUCCCAUUUUUUCGUAUUGUUUGGCUCCAUAAGCUUGGCCAGAAAGAGUUUCUAGUGAACCCACUAACCCAAACUGCACAAAGAAUUGAAGUAUUUAUCAAGAUUUCAGAGUCAACUUGAUUUUGAACAUAAGAGGAGAGAGUAGUCAUAACAUAAUUACCAUAAUGCUGAAACCGGAGACAUUUGUGAAGGAGGUAGCAAGAGCGACACCGGAGAGCUGGAGCUCGCCGUUGUGGCCAGCGACCAUGACUGAGAUGACUGGCAAUAAGUACUGUGCAAUGGUCACGGUGGCCAUAGGAACAGCCAAGCGGCUCACUUUCUUCAGCUCGACAUUGAGCUGACCACUUUUCCAUGUGGCUUUACAGGGGACUAUCUGCUCAUCUUGCGGAAGAAAUGGCUCUUCCAUUGUUUUAGGUUGUUAAUUUUUUUUUUGUCCUUAUUUUUUGUUUGUUAUUGUUUUGUGUUGAAAGCCUUGUCUAGUACUUUAAUUGUCUAUAAUUUAUGCGGACAUUCUUCCAUCUUUUAUAGACACUAGACAGACGACGAAACCAAUGUCAAUGUCAACGUAGACUUUUCUUUUUUGGAAAUUGUGGGAAUAGAAUAUUCAAAUUACAUGACUCUUAGCUCGACCAGUGGAAUUCUAUAUUUUCCACGAAGAUCCUCAAAAAGUAUAUUAUAAAAGUCUACAUGAUAAAGUAUAAAGUAUUACUAAAGUUUAUACAUCAAAGUUUUCAGCAAUGACGUUGUAUAGUUUCUCUUAAUAAGUUUCCGGAAAACAAUAGUUUUUUUUAAGGUGAACAUACAUCAUGUUUUUUAUUGUUAAAGGAACAUACAUCAUGUUUUUUGCAAAUGACAAAAUCUUCUAACAACUUCACAAGUUAUAACAGUUUUAUAAAACUGUUAUAAAAGUCAUGUAUAUUAAACUUUUUAUUACUUCCAUAAAAGUCAGAUAUCACAAUAACCUAAUAACAAAGACAAACAAAAGAGACAAUUCGGUCAUUUUGAAAUACAAAUGGUGGACGUCGUCGUCAACACUCAACAGUCGUCCAAUAUCAGCAUUUUGGAAAUACAUGAUAAUACACUUGGGGAUCACGUUCCAAUGAUCUAUGACUAAACAACAAAGGCAACUCGAAUAAUUACUUGGGAAUCAAGUUCUAAUCAUAUCAUAGAUUAAACAAAAGAUAAUGACAUUGUUACAAAAAAAAAAGAGACAGUUUGUUUUAACAGUUUAUAUUAAAAAGGAAAAAUGUCUUAAUUAACAAAAACAUUUUUUUGGUUUAAAUAACAACUAGACAGUUCAAACGUGCAGCUGAGGCUGAUAAAAAGGUAGGAAUUCGUAUUAAGUUUUCACCACUAAACCUACUAAUUAAAUGACAUAACAUUAGUGGACUAUGUGGAAUUUGAAUCUUCUAUAAGUAUUUUUCAUCUAUAUAUUUUUAAUGAUUUACGUCAAGAAACAUGUAUGUGAAAACUCUUAUGGAUCAUUAGUGUAAAGUUAUUAUGUUUGGACCAUAUAUAAGAGAGAUUAUUUUCUUUUGUGAAUUUUAAAGUUAAUACUAAGUGUUAAAUCUGGUUGUGCCAUACAGGCCAUUUUUAGUGGACUUAUUGGGAUAAUGGAUAGGACUCACAUAGUUGUUUUUUAUAAAGAUAGGACUGAUUGCAGCUGAGGCCAUUUUUAAUCCCAUGGUGUUUGGAACUAAUGAGUUUUUAUUUACUUGUUACAUUUGUAUAUUAAAGUUUGAAGAAAAUAAAUAAAUCAUCUUUCAGCAUGUGCAAUUCGAAUAAUUUUUCUAACUAACGAAAAUAUCAACUCAAGAAAAAAUGUAUAAAUCCUGGAUAAAAGUUUUACAAAAAAAUAUUAUAACCCAUCAAAAUAACAUUACAUGUUUUUUUGCACAUGACUUGCAAAUACUUUGAGAUAGCUCUUAGGAACAACCUUUAUUUAAACCAAUCCAUUUUCAGUAGAGAUUAUUCUCUUCCUUGCUUUCUCAGCCUGCAAAUAAUAGAGUCCAGUUACUUCAGAGCAUUCAAAAAACUAGAAUGUAACAAACUCUAACCUGUUCCUUCCAGUUCAUGGAGGCUGUGACGAUAGCCAGUAAAGUGGCUUGCACCGCGGAUCCAACCAUAACACCGCACCAGAGUCCUUUUCCAUUCCACUCACGACUGAAAGCUAAGUAAACUCCAACAGGAGCUCCUACAAGAUAAUAAGCCACCACGUUGAUCAAAGCUCCAAUGUGUUGCCACCCACAUCCCCUAGCCACUCCAUUUAGAACUGCCGUUAAUCCGUCGAGGAUGAAGGAGAGACAGAGCAAAGGAGAUAUGUCAGCAACAUAGUCAACAACUUCUUUGCUGUUGCUGAAUGUGUAGCCUAUGAUGUUUCGGCAGGUGAAGAGAAGUGUGCUAAAGAAAGCUGACUCUACAAGCCAGAGACAAAGCCCUGCCAAUACGGAAACCCUAGCAACUUGAGGAUUUCCAGCUCCCAAUUUGUUUGACACUCGUGUGCUUCAAGAAACCAAAUGACUAAUGUUGAGAAAGGAAUUGUUGAACACUUGUUCUGGUUUGAGAGUUGAGAUCAUACCUC